CCUACGGGUGGCAGCAGUGGGGGAUAUUGCACAAUGGGGGGAACCCUGAUGCAGCGACGCCGCGUGGGUGAAGGAGUGCUUCGGCAUGUAAAGCCCUAUCGGCAGGGAAGAAGCAAGACGGUACCUGACUAAGAAGCCCCGGCUAACUACGUGCCAGCAGCCGCGGUAAUACGUAGGAUCCGAGCGUUAUCCGGAUUUAUUGGGUUUAAAGGGUGCGUAGGCGGUCAGGUAAGUUAGAGGUGAAAGCUCGAUGCUCAACAUCGAAACUGCCUCUGAUACUGUCUGACUAGAGUGUAGUUGCGGAAGGCGGAAUGUGUGGUGUAGCGGUGAAAUGCUUAGAUAUCACACAGAACACCGAUUGCGAAGGCAGCAUACCGGCGCCCAACUGACGCUGAAGCACGAAAGCGUGGGUAUCGAACAGGAUUAGAUACCCGAGUAGUC
rnacentral:rRNA from 1 species